GUUUGAAAAUUUUCUUGCGAACAUUUUAAUCUUUUGUUUAAUUAGCCAGUGAGAGAUGGUUUUAUUAAAACUAGUUCAGUUAAGUUUUACGUAUUUUGUAUGAUUUAGUGUGUGGAUUUGGAUAUGCAGUGAAGUGCGUAUUAGUUGUGGCAGGGGGUGGGAUGGGAAUUGUUCCACACCCCAAGUGUCUGUGUUUCUUAUAGCUCAAUAGUCCAAAGAGAUAUUCAAAAGUAGGUACCUAAGAGGUAUUUUCUUUGAACCGCCCUUAUUAUGUACCUGCAAGGAAAAUUGCCAUCUACAUAGUUGUCCCAGUUUCAUAUUUUUCGUUCAUGAAAUUAACUUCAAGUAUUGCAUAAGAUACAGUACUGCGCGCUUGAACAUCCCGCCUGGUAGCACAAGGUAACCUUAUUUUACCAGAUAAUAAUGGUUAUAUUGAAUAAAUGAUAAGAUAAUAUAUAAUACAUUAUUUUUAUCCGUCUAUUGUGAUAAUUUUUGUCUUUCAUAAUUUUAUAUAUAUGAAUUGGGAUAAUUGCCUUAAUUUUUUCUGUGAUAUGUCUUCCCAUGUUAUACCGUAUACUACACAAGGACCACAGUGGAAACAAGUGAAUGCAAUAGAAAGUCCCCUACUGGAAGGCACCUAAUUUUCUCUACUGCAGUGUAACAUAAUGAACUGAUAUCUAUCAAUAAUGUUUAAACAAUAUUGUACUACAUACAUAAUAUGUUAUAACAAAACACUUGGAUUAAAAUUUGCAUAUAUUAAAAUAUUAAAACCUACAGUUGUCUUCAUAUGGAUUUUUUGACCGAUUAUAAAAAAAAGUUAUAAUAUAAGUUAUUUUAAUAUAGUAACAGCAAAGGUAAAUUAAUCCUGCAAAAAUCUAUAUAAUAUAAGUCCAAAAGAAACUUUUUACCAGGUAGACAUGGGUCAAAAUACACCUAAAAAUUGUAUGUAACAUGCAUGUUCUACAACAGAAAAGUAGUCCCGAUUUUUCUCUGCGGCCAGUAAAUGUUACAAUACAAUCUAUUUAAAGUAAAACAAAGGGACGUAAUUCUAAAAACAAUGGUGACUAAUGGUGGUGAACAUUUGUGCCAAGUUACAUCCAUGCAUGAAGAAAUGCUCCGGACAAAGGCAUUUUUGAACUUGAUCUUUGACCUCUAAGUGUGACCUUGACCUUAGACCUAGGGAUCAGGUUCUUGCGCAUGACAAUCCGCAUUAUGGUGGUGAAAAUUUGUGCCAAAUUACAUCAAAACCCCUCCAUGCAUGAAGAAGACAUGCUCUGGACAAAGUCAUUCUUGUAUCUGACCUUUGGUCUCUAAGUGUGACCUUGACCUUAGACCUAGGGACCUGGUUCUUGCGCAUGACACUCCGUCUCAUAAUGGUGAACAUUUGUGCCAAGUAAUAUUAAAGUUGAGUUACAGACUGGACAGGAAAAAAAGCCCUUUUGGCCUUUGAUUUCCAAGUGUGACCUUGCCCUUGCAGAUCAGGGCCCGGAUUUUGCGAAUGACACGUUGUCUCAUCCAGGGGAAUAUUUGUGCCAACUGAUAUUUAAAACCUUUUUGAAUGACAUUGAAGUUAUAGACCGGACAGGAAAAAAAUCCUAUUGACCUUUGACCUCCAAGUGUUACCUUGACCUUUAAGCUAGGGUUCUGGGUGUUGCGCAUAACACGUCGUCUCAUAAUGGGUAACAUUUAUGCCAAGUAAUAUUGUAAUCCCUUGAUUGAUGACUGAGUUCUGGACCGGACAGGAAAAAAUCCUAUUGACCUUUGACCUCUAAUUGUGACCUUGACCUAGGGUCCGGUUUUUGCGCAUGACAUGUCGUCUCAUCAUGGGGAACAUUUUUACCAAGUAAUAUUAAAAUCCCUUCAUGGAUGACAGAGUUAUGGACCGGACACGAAAUUGUGGACGGACAGAAUGACACAGAAAAGCGCAUUCAUAUAGUCCCCGAAACUGGUUAUCAGUAGGGGACGACUAAUAAUGAUAUCUACCUAUUUUUAUGUCAAUCUGUAUGUUAAAAUGUAUAUGACAUGGCUUUAAAUAAAAUGCAUACUUCCUUAUUGUUAUCUGUGUUAAUUGUUAUCUGUAUUGUUAUCUGUAGUAUUUGUUGUUAUAUAUAUUGCCAUGUACCAGAAAUAAAUCUAUAUCUCUCUAUCAGACUAUUUAUCUAUCUUAUCUCGUUUUACCAACCUCCGCGAAAGGGGAAGUAACACUGUGUUGGAGUCUGUUGUAUUGAUAACGCGACAAAUGAAAGAGAUACAGUAACACCUCACCAGUGAAACAUUUUAGAUCCAAAAGAACAUAAAAUAUAAUGAAAUCAGCGUCACCUCGAUAGCCACGCAUGUUUUUUUUUUUUGUUGUUGUUGUUGUUUUCUAGAGAUGAUAUAGGUUUUCAUUACCAGCCUAACUAAAUACACAACUUACUUUUAUGUAUACAGAAUAGCCUCUGAGACAGACUUGAAUUACUAAUUUCAUAUAGCUUUUUGGAGAGUUGAACUAAAACAAAAACAAUGGAAGUAUACUGCGUAUAUCAGAUGCUGAGCUGUAUUAGAAUUUCUGUUAUACAAAAUGUUGCUUUUUUUUCCAUAUGAAAAUAAAAAUAUUAUUACAGUAUAAUUACGCUGACUGGAGUCUUUCUGGACCAAUUAAGACUUGCAUUUCGUUGUGCCAUUUGAUAUAGUAUUACAUCUCAUGCAAACAUGUUUCAGUGGCUUUUGAAAUUCCAUAGACUAUAUAAUAACAUGAUUAAAGCAUGUUAGAGUUUUGGUCUAGUCAAGAGUUUAGAUUUUUUUGUUUCGAAAAUAGUUACAAAUAUAAGUUCACCAGCAUCUUGUUGAAAUAAUAAGAUAAUUUUAAUUCUAAGAGUUUUGAUACGCGCUUAUAUAUAAAAACCGUUCACAGUGACCUAGCAAUUCAGGGGGGAAAACACCUGUACUACCGAAUAUAACUUUGAGCCAUUAGAAAGAGCGCGCCGGGGCAAUACUCGCUAAACACCGGGCAGCGGUGCGAAAAGACGACAUUUAAAAGACAUAACACUGGCGGGGUUGAGGAGUCAUAAGUUGCUAAUUAGCGUUCUGUUUACGUCGAGUUUUCACCUCGUGACCCCGUUGCUUGAGUUUUAGAAUCUCGACUUUUCGCCCCGCGUCCCGCUGAUUAGUGAGUUUUUGCACCGCACCACUGUGAUUAUCAUUUAAACAUAAUAAAUCUCGUAUUUUCGCUUAGCGGGGUCGCAGGGCAAAACCACGAAAUGGCAUAAAUAUGACACCAUAGAAAGUAGAAAAUUUUAAAGAAUGUGAAAUUACAGGAAAACACAGAGUAAAUUAAUUUCGGUUAGUCGGGCAAUUCAAGUGCGACUGAAUCGACGUACUAUGUAAACAUGUAACUUGACACUUGUGUACAUAAUAAUACGUAAUAAAGUGCAGAAGUAGUUAGGUCGCGUUAAAUUAUCUCAAUUUGAUAGCUAAAUGAAGUCGUUUAACUGCGACUGAAAUUAUCUAUUUAUUUUGUGACUAGACAAGGACCAUAACUCUGGUCUUGCUUAGUGCAAUGACACACAAAACUCUAGAUGCACAACUUCACGUGCUGCAUGAAAUUCCUAUAAAGGUUUCAAAUACUUUAAAUAUAACUUGGCACAAAUGUUCACCACCACGAGACAGGGUGUCAUGCGCAAGAACCAGGUCCCUAGGUCUAAGGUCAAGGUCACACUUAGAGGCCAAAGGUCAGAUACAAGAAUGAGUAUGUCCGGAGCAUUUCUUCUUUAUGCAUGGAGGGAUGUAACUUGGCACAAUUGUACACCAUCAUGAGACGGAGUGUCAUGUGCAAGAACCAGGUCCCUAGGUCUAAGGUCAAUGUCACGCUUAUAACCAAAGGUCAGAUACAAGAGUGACUUUGUCCGGAGCAUUUCUUCUUCACGCAUGGAGGGAUUUUGAUAUAACUUGGCACAAUUGUACACCAUCAUGAGACGGAAUGCCAUGUGCAGGUCCUUUCUUUAGAAUUACUUCCUUUUGUUGUUACUAUAUAUAGCUUAUAUUGUAACUUCUUCAUUACUAGUCGUAGGGAAAAAUCGAGACCACUUUUCUGUAGCACAACAUGCAUGUUACAUCCAAUUUUGAGGUGUAUUUUGACCUAUAUCUACCUGGUAAGGAUUUUUUUGUGGACUUACAAUUUUUUCUUUGGAUUUUUUCCCUUUUUACCUCACCUGAGUACGAAGUGCUCAAAGGUGAGCUUUUGUAAUCGCCCUGUGUCCGUCGUCGUCCGUCAGUCGUCCGUCGUCCGUCCGUCGUCAACAAUUUUACUGUUAACACUCUAGAGGUCACAGUUCUGACCCAAUCUUAAUGAAAAUUGGUCAGAAUGUUACCCUCAAUAAAAUCUUGGAUGAGUUCGAUAUUCGGUCAUCUGGGGUCAAAAACUAGGUCACCAGAUCAAAUCAAAGGAAAAGCUUGUUAACACAAGAGUCUAGAGGUCACAGUUUUGGCCCAGUCUUAAUGAAACUUGGUCAGAAUGUUACCCUCAGUAAAAUCUUGGACGAGUUCGAUAUUGGGUCAUCUUGGAUCAAAAACUAGGUCACCAGGUCAAAUCAAAGGAAAAACUUGUUAACACUCUAGAGGUCACAAUUUUGGCCCAAUCUUAAUGAAACUUGGUCAGAAUGUUACUCUCAAUAAAAUCUUGGAAGAGUUUGAUAUUGGGUCAUCUGGGUUCAAAAACUAGGUCACCAGGUUAAAUCAAAGGAAAAGCUUGUUAACACUCUAGAGGGUACAUUUUUGGCCCAAUCUUAAUGACACUUAGUCAGAAUGUAACCCUCAGUAAAAUCUUGGAUAAUUUUGAUAUUGGGUCAUCUGGGGUCAAAAACUAGGUCACCAGGUCAAAUCAAAGGAAAAGCUUGUUAACACUCUAGAGGUCACAAUUAUGGCCCAAUCUUAAUGAAACUUGAUCAGACUGUUACCCUCAAUGAAGUCUUGGACGAGUUUGAUAUUGGGUCAUCUGGGUUCAAAAACUAGGUCACCUGGUCAAAUCAAAGGAAAAGCUUGUUAACACUGUAGAGGCCACAUUCAUGACUGUAUCUUCAUGAAACUUGCUCAGAAUGUUAAUCUUGAUGAUCUCAAGGUCCAGUUUAAAUCUAGGUCAUGUAGGAUCAAAAACUAGGUCACCAGGUCAAAUCAAAGGAAAAGCUAGUUUACACUGUAGAGGCCACAUUUAUGACCAUAUCUUAAUGAAAUUGUUCAGAAAGUUAGUCUUGAGGCUGUAUAGGUCAAGUUCGAAUCUGGGUCAGGUGGGGUCAAAAACUAGGUCACUAGAUCAAAUCAAAGGAAAAGCUUAUAAACACUCUAGAGGCCACAUUUAUGACUGUAUCUUCAUGAAACUUAGUCAGUCAGAAUGUUAAUCUUGAUAAUCUUUCGGUCAAGUUCGAACCUGGGUCAUGUCAGGUUAAAAACUAGGUCACCGAGUCAAAUCAAUGGUAAAGCUUGUUAACACUGUAGAGGCCACAUUUAUGACUGUAUCUUUAUGAAACAUGGUCAAAAUGGUAAUCUUGAUAUUCCCAAGGUGUAGUUUGAAUCUGGGUCAUGUAGAAUUAAAAACUAGGUCACCAGGUCAAAUCAAAGGAAAAGCUAGUUUACACUGUAGAGGCCACAUUUAUGAUAAUAUCUUAAUGAAACUAGGUCAGAGUGUUAAUCUUGAUAAUCUAUAGGUCAAAUUCAAAUCUGGGUCAGGUGGGGUCAAAAACUAGAGCACUAGGGCAAAUCGAAGGAAAAGCUUGCUAACACUGUAGAGGCCACAUUUAUGACCGUAUCUUCAUGAAACUUGGUCAGAAUGGUAAUCUUGAUGAUUUCAAGAUCCAGUUUGAAUCUGGAUCAUGUCGGGUCAAAAAAUAGGUCACUAGGUCAAAUUAAAAGAAAAGCUAGUUCACACUUUAGAGGUCACAUUUAUACCAUAUCUUAAUGAAACUUGGUCAGAGUGUUAAUAUUGAUGGUCUUUUGGUCAAUAGGUCAGGUGAGCGAUACAGGGCCUUCAUGGCCCUCUUGUUUCAUUCAUAUAAACGGCGGUGUCUAACUUACCAGUUAGCGCAUGAUACCCUACCCAGUCACAGUAUACUGACACCAGGCUGACCAGUCCUAAAGUGUACUAUACUCUAAAUGCUGAGCGCCCAGCGAGGAAGCUUCACUUCAGUACAAAUUUCACGUUUUUGACCGGGUCGAACAUACAACAAUAUAGUUAUUUACAGUCUGAUUAAAAUCAUCUCCUAAAACAUCGCAUUUGUGCAGUCAGUUUUGAAUAAAAGUCAAGGAGCAUCAUUUACAUUCUUCAAAACAUUAAGGCAUUCGUAAAUUAUGUAAAAUGGAACACAAAUGACAAAAGUAAAAGCUUUAUCUAUAGUCAUAUCAAUGUUUCGAGUCACUUUUUUCUGUAUUAUUUAACAAGUGCUAAACAGGCAUGUUAACCCUUAUGCCAACGUUGGUACUAUCUAGACAACUAACAUCAAUUUUCCAGCCAAUGAUUAUUUAUUCGACAAUUUGAUAACAGUUAAAGUUAUAACUAUAUAAAAUGUAUAUGUAUUUAUUUAAAUUGUUUAUAUAGCAAUUAAAAUUCAUAAAAGA